rnacentral:rRNA from 1 species
GACGAACGCUGGCGGCGUGCUUAACACAUGCAAGUCGAACGAAGUGGCGAACGGGUGAGUAACGCGUAAUCAACCUGCCCUUCAGAGGGGGACAACAGUUGGAAACGACUGCUAAUACCGCAUACUGAAGGAGGGGAUUGCGUCUGAUUAGCUAGUUGGAGGGGUAACGGCCCACCAAGGAGAUGAUCAGUAGCCGGUCUGAGAGGAUGGACGGCCACAUCGGGACGUAGACACGGCCCAGAGUCCUACGGGAGGCAGCAGUGGGGAAUCUUCCGCCAUGGAGGAAAGUCUGACGGAGCAACGCCGCGUGAGUUAUGACGGCCUUCGGGUUGUAAAGCUCUGUUAAUCGGGACGCGGUACCUGAAUAGAAAGCCACGGCUAACUUCGUGCCAGCAGCCGCGGUAAUUC